rnacentral:tRNA from 1 species
GCGCUCGUAGCUCAGCUGGAUAGAGCGCUGCCCUCCGAAGGCAGAGGUCAGAGGUUCGAAUCCUCUCGAGCGCGCCA